rnacentral:rRNA from 1 species
UGGGGAAUUUUGGACAAUGGGGGAAACCCUGAUCCAGCCAUCCCGCGUGUGCGAUGAAGGCCUUCGGGUUGUAAAGCACUUUUGGCAGGAAAGAAACGUCAUGGGUUAAUACCCCGUGAAACUGACGGUACCUGCAGAAUAAGCACCGGCUAACUACGUGCCAGCAGCCGCGGUAAUACGUAGGGUGCAAGCGUUAAUCGGAAUUACUGGGCGUAAAGCGUGCGCAGGCGGUUCGGAAAGAAAGAUGUGAAAUCCCAGAGCUCAACUUUGGAACUGCAUUUUUAACUACCGGGCUAGAGUGUGUCAGAGGGGGGUGGAAUUCCGCGUGUAGCAGUGAGAUGCGUAGAUAUGCGGAGGAACACCGAUGGCGAAGGCAGCCUCCUGGGAUAACACUGACGCUCAUGCACGAAAGCGUGGGGAGCAAACAGG